rnacentral:sRNA from 19 species
AUUUAAGUUUUCUAGGGUUCCGCAGCUUAUAACUGGCAGGUCCGAGAGAAAACACACAGCUAAUUGUGUACACGGAAGGAUAAAAGCCUGGGAGAU